GCUGGCGGCAGGCCUUAUACAUGCAAGUCGAGCGCAUCCUUCGGGAUGAGCGGCGGACGGGUGAGUAACGCGUGGGAAUGUGCCCUUCUCUACGGAAUAGCCACUGGAAACGGUGAGUAAUACCGUAUACGCCCUCAGGGGGAAAGAUUUAUCGGAGAAGGAUCAGCCCGCGUUAGAUUAGGUAGUUGGUGGGGUAACGGCCUACCAAGCCUACGAUCUAUAGCUGGUUUUAGAGGAUGAUCAGCCACACUGGGACUGAGACACGGCCCAGACUCCUACGGGAGGCAGCAGUAGGGAAUCUUGGACAAUGGGGGCAACCCUGAUCCAGCCAUGCCGCGUGAGUGAAGAAGGCCUUAGGGUCGUAAAGCUCUUUCGCCUGUGAUGAUAAUGACAGUAGCAGGUAAAGAAACCCCGGCUAACUCCGUGCCAGCAGCCGCGGUAAUACGGAGGGGGUUAGCGUUGUUCGGAAUUACUGGGCGUAAAGCGCGCGUAGGCGGAUUGGAAAGUUGGGGGUGAAAUCCCGGGGCUCAACCCCGGAACUGCCUUCAAAACUCCCAGUCUAGAGUUCGAGAGAGGUGAGUGGAAUUCCGAGUGUAGAGGUGAAAUUCGUAGAUAUUCGGAAGAACACCAGUGGCGAAGGCGGCUCACUGGCUCGAUACUGACGCUGAGGUGCGAAAGUGUGGGGAGCAAACAGGAUUAGAUA
rnacentral:rRNA from 1 species